GGAGAGGUGUCCGAGUGGUCGAAGGUGCAUGAUUGGAAAUCAUGUGUAGCGAAAGUUACCGAGGGUUCGAAUCCCUCCCUCUCCG
rnacentral:tRNA from 1 species